rnacentral:rRNA from 1 species
AGCCGCCGCGGGAACACCGGCGGCCCGAGUGGUGAUCGUGAUUAUUGGGUCUAAAGGGUCCGUAGCCGGUUUGGUCAGUCCUCCGGGAAAUCUGAUAGCUCAACUAUUAGGCUUUCGGGGGAUACUGCCAGACUUGGAACCGGGAGAGGUAAGAGGUACUACAGGGGUAGGAGUGAAAUCUUGUAAUCCCUGUGGGACCACCUGUGGCGAAGGCGUCUUACCAGAACGGGUUCGACGGUGAGGGACGAAAGCUGGGGGCACGAACCGGAUUAGAUACCCGGGUAGUCCCAGCCGUAAACGAUGCUCGCUAGGUGUCAGGCAUGGCGCGACCGUGUCUGGUGCCGCAGGGAAGCCGUGAAGCGAGCCACCUGGGAAGUACGGCCGCAAGGCUGAAACUUAAAGGAAUUGGCGGGGGAGCACAACAACGGGUGGAGCCCUGCGGUUUAAUUGGACUCAACGCCGGACAACUCACCGGGGGCGACAGCAAUAUGUAGGCCAAGCUGAAGACUUUGCCUGAAUCGCUGAGAAGUGGUGCAUGG